UACGAGGGGGGCAAGCGUUGUUCGGAAUUAUUGGGCGUAAAGAGCGUGUAGGCGGUCCGGUAAGUCCGCUGUGAAAGUCGGGGGCUCAACCCUCGAAUGCCGGUGGAUACUGUCGGGCUAGAGUGCGGAAGAGGCGAGUGGAAUUCCUGGUGUAGCGGUGAAAUGCGCAGAUAUCAGGAGGAACACCUAUUGCGAAGGCAGCUCGCUGGGACGUAACUGACGCUGAGACGCGAAAGCGUGGGGAGCAAACAGG
rnacentral:rRNA from 1 species